rnacentral:rRNA from 1 species
AUGGAUGCGGCCCAGUGGCACCAGGGGCUAGGGCUCGUGAAGCCCAUGGAGGAGAUGAUCAUGGCUGGAAACCCAAAUCCUAAUUCUAAUGGGAACCCGAACCCACAGCCGGCGCAGCCGUCUGGGACCGAAGCCCAGAGGGCCCCCGUUCCUGGCCCGCCGGCGGCAGGAGCGGGCGCGGCUGCCGGGACGGGCUCCACCGAGCGGAAGGCGGCGCGGCCGCAGAAGGAGAAGGCAAUCAACUGCCCCAGGUGCAACUCCACCAACACCAAGUUCUGCUACUACAACAACUACAGCCUCCAGCAGCCGCGCUACUUCUGCAAGACGUGCCGCCGCUACUGGACCGAGGGCGGCUCGCUCCGGAACGUGCCCGUCGGCGGCGGCUCACGCAAGAAUAAGAGAUCGUCGUCCUCGGUGGUUUCGUCCGCGGUGGGCGCCGUCCCCACCUCGGCGGCGGUGUCCGGGACGGUCCCCGUCGGCGGGAUGGCGGCCAAGAACCCGAAGCUGAUGCACGAGGGCGCGCACGACCUCAACCUGGCGUUCCCCCACCACCACGGCCGCGUCUUGCACCCGUCGGAGUUCGCGGCGUUCCCUAGCCUGGAGAGCAGCAGCGUCUGCAACCCGGGAGGCGCCAUGGCGGCCAACGGCGCGGGCGGCGGGAGGGGCAUGGGCGCGUUUUCCGCGAUGGAGCUGCUGAGGAGCACCGGCUGCUACGUACCGAUGCCGCAGGUGCAGCUCGGGAUGCCGCCGGAGUACGCAGCCGCGGGAUUCGCGCUUGGCGAGUUCCGCAUGCCGCUGCAGCAUCAGCAACACCACCAUCAGCAGCAGCAACAACAACACCACCAGCAGCAGCAGCAUCAGGUUCACAACAUGCUCGGGUUCUCCCUGGACACGGGAGGAGGUGGCGACGCCGGGGGAUACGGCGCUGGGUUGCAGGGCGCGCAGGAGAGCGCAACGGGAAGGAUGUUGUUCCCGUUCGAGGACUUGAAGCCGGGUGCGAACCCAAAUGGAGGAGGUGCAAGUGGCGGUGAUCAGUUUGAGCACAGCAAAGACCAAGGCGGCGGCGGUGGCCAUGAGACCCUGGGGUUCUGGAAUAACAGCAUGAUCGGGAAUGGCAGCAGCAAUGACGCCGGCGGUGGCGGUGGCGGCGGCGGCGGCAGUUCGUGGUAG